AGAUAACGAGGAAGAGGGGAAUGAGGUUGAGAAGAGAUAACGAGGAAGAGGGGAAUGAGGUUGAGAAGAGAUAAUGAGGAAGAGGGAGAGGGAAAUUAGGUUGAGAAUAGAUAAUGAGGAAGAGGGAGAGGGAAGUGGGGUUGAGAAGAGGGGAAUGAGUUUGAGAAGAGAUAACGAGGAAGAGGGGAUUGAGGUUGAGAAGAGGGGAAUGAGUUUGAGAAGAGAUAACGAGGAAGAGGAAAAUUAGGUUGAGAAGAGAGAAGGUUGAGGUUGAGAAGAGAGAAGAGGGGAAUGAGUUUGAGAAGAGAUAACGAGGAAGUUGUUUGUGUUUUUAUAUUUGUGCUGGAGUCGUCUUGGACAUUUUAGAGCCUUUCCAGACCAUCAGUGUUUCUCAUAUAUAUACAGUGCCUUGCGAAAG
ensembl:lncRNA